AUACGGAGGGUGCAAGUGUUAAUCGGAAUUACUGGGCGUAAAGCGUACGUAGGCGGUUUAUUAAGUCAGAUGUGAAAGCCCCGGGCUUAACCUGGGAACUGCAUUUGAAACUAGUAGACUAGAGUAUGGUAGAGGGGGGUAGAAUUCCUAGUGUAGCGGUGAAAUGCGUAGAUAUUAGGAGGAAUACCAGUGGCGAAGGCGGCCCCCUGGACCAAUACUGACGCUGAGGUACGAAAGCGUGGGGAGCGAACAGGAUUAGAAACCCCAGUAGUCC
rnacentral:rRNA from 1 species